AGAAUGAAGUAUUAUUUACAUCUCAGUUACAUUGAGAAGAUCCAUAAUGUUUGGCGUUCUUAUC
rnacentral:tRNA from 1 species